rnacentral:rRNA from 1 species
UGAGGAAUAUUGCACAAUGGGAGAAAUCCUGAUGCAGCGAUGCCGUGUGCGGGAUGAAGGGGCUUUGCCUCGUAAACCGCUGUCGGAUGGGACGAAAGGGUGUUUUGAACACCUGGGACUGUACCAUAAGAGGAAGGGACGGCUAACUACGUGCCAGCAGCCGCGGUAAUACGUAGGUCCCGAGCGUUGUCCGGAAUUACUGGGUAUAAAGGGUGCGCAGGCGGUCUUGUGCGUCAGAAGUGAAAUAUCACGGCUCAACCGUGAGGGUGCUUUUGAUACGGCAAGACUUGAGUACGGGAGAGGAUGAUGGAAUUCCUGGUGUAGCAGUGAAAUGCGUAGAUAUCAGGAGGAACACCGGUGGCGAAGGCGGUCAUCUGGCCCGUAACUGACGCUCAGGCACGAAAGUGUGGGUAGCAAACAGG